CCCCGUGACUGGCGGAGGCUGCCUUCUGCCGUUCGUGGGCGUUGCGCUGUGGCUCGCUGCGCGCACCGAGGCUGCGGACGGGGCUGGCCGAGCCGGCGAGGCCGCGUUUUGCAGAGCCGGAUUCACUCGGGUUUUAGAUGGGUUUGGGAAGGGCUCAGGCGGUUAAGAGGGCCCGGCUACCCCAGGCGGUGCGUGCGUGUCGCAGCCUGUGCGUGUCAGGAGCCAGGUCCCCUCCCGGCGCCUUGCGGGGACCUCACCUGCGCUGGAUUUAGAUGUCUGCGGGGACAAGAACUCGCGAUUCACCUGACGGAUGCUCGGUGUCCACGCUGUGUACACAAACCCGAGCGAGGCUGGAGUCCCGGGCGCUCGGCCUCGGCUCAUCGAACGAUUUGCGCUAUUAAUGGUUAUUUUAUUUAUAUCGUUAGAAUUGUCCCUCUGGGUCUGUUUACACCAAAGUCUGGCCGUCCCGGCCGCAGUGUUUGGACAGGGGAUUACACUAAUGGAUGGCGGGCCAGGAGGGGAGCAGUAGGCGCGGCUGGAAACGGGGCUCCAGGCCGCCGCGCGCGGUGGGCCUGGGCGGAGGGGCGCGGCCUCUGCCAGGCGCGACCUCCGACCCCGGAGGGGAAGGAAACCUGUCCGCGCGCGAUAGGAAGCCUUGGCCUGCAGCGGGGUGGGGGCUGCUCCCGGGGCCCUUGCCCCUCUCCCUUCCCGGGGCCUGCUCCAACCCCGAGGUCGUCGCGCUGGGGCGCGUCCUCAUCAACAAGUAAACAAGGCCAGGAGCUGCCCGGGUGGGCGGCUUCUUUGAUUCUCCCCGGUUGGUGGCGGCGGUUUAGUGCGCCGACCCCCAAAUCCGGAUUACAGUCGAGCCUCGGGCGCCUGGAGGCCCAGGGGGUUAGGGCCGCCUUCAAAGGGUACUGCUCUAGGUGCGUGAGCGCAGCUCCGCCGGUUGGGGGAAGACCUGCAGCCCCGGGCCCGGCGACGGCGCCCCUGGCACUGGCUGCCGGCGCUGGUGCAGAAGCCCGGCCCCACGCAGCGGGGCGGCUGGCACCUGGCCGCGUCCUGGGCCAGGGGAGGGGUGUGGAGGUGUCCUGGGAGCCUUUAGCUUGGGAAGACUAG
rnacentral:lncRNA from 1 species